UACGUAGGGUGCAAGCGUUGUCCGGAAUUAUUGGGCGUAAAGAGCUCGUAGGCGGUUUGUCGCGUCUGCUGUGAAAACUCGGGGCUUAACUCCGGGCCUGCAGUGGGUACGGGCAGACUAGAGUGCGGUAGGGGAGACUGGAAUUCCUGGUGUAGCGGUGAAAUGCGCAGAUAUCAGGAGGAACACCGGUGGCGAAGGCGGUUCUCUGGGCAACAACUGACGCUGAGGAGCGAAAGCGUGGGGAGCGAACAGG
rnacentral:rRNA from 1 species